rnacentral:rRNA from 1 species
CAACUUUCAACAACGGAUCUCUUGGUUCUGGCAUCGAUGAAGAACGCAGCGAAAUGCGAUAAGUAGUGUGAAUUGCAGAAUUCAGUGAAUCAUCGAAUCUUUGAACGCACAUUGCGCCCCUUGGUAUUCCUUGGGGCAUGCCUGUUCGAGCGUCAUUG